GCCUGCUUCGAGUUCUGUGUCUCCCCCUCUCUCCGCCCCUCCCCGUCCCCCCCCCUUCUCACUCUCUCAAAAAUAAAUAAACAUUAAAAAAAAGAAGAAAGAAAGAAAGAAACUAAAGAAGGGGAAACAAGUAGAGGUGGGCUGACGGAAGGAGCCACCAGGUCCGGGGAGGAAUUAGGCAACAACCCGAAGACAGUCAAGUACAUGUAAACUCCCAAAUUCGAACCUGAAGAUGUCUUCUUGGUAGCAAGCUUGACUAGAGCUAUUUUUGCAGUGCCUUAAAAUGAAUAGGUGAUGCUUUUUUCCCCCUAACUUCUAUCACCAAAGUGUGUGUGUGUUUCACUUUCCUUGCUUCACUAUGCCUUUUCUUGAGCAUUCUAUGUGAAUGUGUACAAUACAUAUUUCAAAUGGAACACAUUGACUUUAGGGAACUCGGAUCAAAACGGCCACUGUUGAGGGCCAUCUGAAAUCCAUGGGCUCAAUUUCCCUCUUAGCAAUCAAGCAGCACGUCUCACACUAUUAAGAAAAAAGCAUUCACUGCACACCUUCAGAACAUACCUCAGAGAUGGUCGUAUCCCCAAAGAUGCUCUGUGUGAGCUAUCAUUACUCUGUGUCUCCUUGGCUGCCUUUUGCUCUCCAGUUUUCUUUGCCUGCCACGAAUAAAGUGAAGACAGGAAAUAUCAGAAAAAGGAAGAAGCGGCAAUCAAGUUAAUUUUGCCACUUGUUCCUGCUCAGCUGCCCCGCCAUGAUGUGAUGCUGAGGCUUCGAAUGUGAUGAGGGCGUGCAGUCCCUCCCUGGCGGAGCCCCAUACUGACAGACCAGUGGCCCGUGCAGCAGGAAGGCUGGGCACUUCUCUGCGGAUGGAAUGGGGCUCCCAUUCCCAUUUGCGCCAAGUACCGAAUAAGCUCACGCUCCCAAAACCUGAGAUAAGGGGUGGGGUUCGAACCCCAGGGGCUUUGCCUGUAACUUCAACUGCCAGUAUCCCUGAAGCUAAGCUUCUUGUCAUGACCCCUGCAAAGUUCUCACGUGGAAGAAUCCAACCCUCCUCGCUGCAGGAAGACACUUGCUCACACUUAAAGCUCCUUCCAACUGGAAAUGGAAAGGACCUUAGAUAGCAAGAAAGACCUCUUUGUUCCCUGAUCAUGAAAUAUUUCAGCAAACUGAACAAUACUGAGGAUGAAUGCCCAUAUACCCCCUACCUAACUUUAGCAAGUCCUACUAUGUUACUUUGCUGGUUCAGAUCUUUUUUCAAGAAGGUUAAAUAUGAUUGAUGUCUAUGGGGCUUCUGUUCUGGCAUCGGGGCAGACCAGGAUAACCUGAAAGGCUUCCUGCAGCAAAACACCUAGAAAAUACUAGGUACAACUUGUCAAAGAGAAUUUUAAUGCAUAGUGGAGCUUGCCAGAAGGUAAGGGAAACUCCCCUGGGCCAGAACAGCAAGAGAACGGAACUCCAUAAGCAGCUGCUGUUGCUGCCUAAGGCAGGAGGGUGUGGGAGUGUGGGACCAUGUUUCACAGACUUGGUCUUCAAUGCCCACACACAGAGCAGAGACUGUGACCUUGUUAGGGGGUAUUGGAAGUAAGACACUCCUCACACAGACGAAGUUGGAACUUUCUAGAAGCAAUACUUAACUCUCAGAUAAAGUGAACAUUAGAAAAGUUCACACAGGAAGACAAGGGAAUCUGUCUAUCGGAGUCUGAGUUCUGGGUAGAAAAGUCUCCCCAGAGAAUUCUUAACCAAUGUCUAGGCCUCAUAGGCUUCUGGGUUUAAAUAUACACUCCACUCAUAUUUGGGGAACUAAAAAAAUUGAUGCUGAGCUGGUGAUAUCCUUUGGCUACCUGGCAUAAGCAAAUGAAAUAUCUCUGUACAGGACCCACCCACAAGCCAGGGCUCACAGGGGUCCCACAGAUAAAACCCUUCUAAAGAUGAGUUCAGAGGUAAUAAUGCUUAAGGGAACAAUUUGCCCCUUGUCUUGUAUUUUUUUUCUCCACUCCUUUCAGCUACAAGCCACCCCUGUUGUAUGAUACUGUUCCUGUUAGCAGCAGAAUGACGCCCAAGAACUGUGUGCCCCUCCCCUAUCUUGUUCUUUCCUCCCUUACAGCAAAACCAUUAAAUCCCUGAUAAUUCCCAUGCAUUAUCUUAAACUACACUGAGUCCAUAAGUAAUACAUAUAUUUGUUUGCAACCUCAAGCUUAUGGAUGAAGAAAAUGAUGCUCGAUUACAAAGGCGUGUGAAUCAGCACAUGCCAGAAUUGAGUAGAACACAGGUCCACUGAUUCCCGGGCUCCUACUCUUUCCAAUUCACUAUUUUGCUUCUCUCUUUCUUACAGCCAAUAUUUGCAUUAUUAAAACUCGCUUCAUUUCUCUGAUAAUGCACCAACAAUAUUGGAGAGAAAGCACCCGAGAAGUUGGUUUGUUUUAAAAACUGUGACUAAUUUCCAAGACAGAUGAUCUCUGAUUGGAUGAUUGUCACUUGACUGUCCACCAGAGCAUGGCUGAUGUAGAGAAUUGGGGAGGGGUGUGUCAGGAUCACAUUUUGAAGUCCAUUAAGAGGGGAUAAAGCCACAUGUGAUCAAAAAUGACCAAUGAAGAUCUACUAAAUCACCCAGACACUGAAAAGCCCAGGGGUGGUGGGGCGGUCGAAAGACUGGAGGGGAGGCUGGAUCAGUCAAGGACUCUGUUUUGCUGGAAGUCCAUUGUUAAAUGAGGUGCACAUCCCAGAGUCCCGACAGAGGCUGAGUGUUCCCCAUGACUUAUGUGGAAGGUGAGGGACCCUUCUGGCAUCAGCAUCACCAGAAGGUUGUCAGCAUUUCAAGGGCAGGGCCCAUGCCUGAUUCAAUAUCUUUGUAUCUUGAGCACUCAGAAAAGAAUACGGCACCUGUCAGGGCCCAUGAAAAAGUUCACUGGAUGAUGAAUUAGGCCACUCCCCUGGCCCAGUAUAAUAACCAGCAAAUCCCCAACUCUUCUGACCACACAUUCAAGGCAGGCAGGUGGGAGAAGGCAAGGGAGACCGGAGGUGGGAGGCUCUGAACUCUACAGCUACAGGGCCACACUCUACAGCUGUGGCCCACAGCUACAGGGCCAGCAGUCCAGCUGGAGACCCUAGAACAGCCAUCACACUGAAAGCACUACCCCUUCUCCUGACCCACAUGUCCCCACCACUCUCUACAAAUUACCCCAGCUGUUUGACAGCACCUGCUGUAACUUUCUCUCCUGUAGCUUUCUCCUCCCCUGAUCCACUUUGGCUGCCAUGAUACUGGGCCAUCACUGAGAUGAUGAUGCUCUGUGCCUGGAGAGACAGGAGGGGCCUGUGGGCUCAAGUGCAGUCCGGCCUGUUGGCUUGGGUUCAGGGCCUCUCCCUAUUCCAGACACUGUUGGCCAGGGUCCCACGGCCCUCACCGACUACUGAGUCUCUGAGUGAUUGCCCUUGGAGCGGCCCCUCCCAGCCACACAGCACACCCCGGCCUCUUUCCAAACAGUGUUUACUGAGAGUGAGGCCAAAAGGAAGGAAACUGGGGAGGGAAGGAGACAGUAUUUCCGAGUUCUGAAACAAACUUAAAUAUCAACUCUAACCUGGCCUGAGCUUUUCUACAACACCAGUCUGUGGAAGCCCCCUCACCACUGUGAACUCCUUAGACUCAUUUCUAGGAAAAAAGCCACAUUUCUGUCUGUCAACCAUUAAUUAUCCUGCGUUCUCCCUCCUACACCCCACAGUCCCACCAUCCUUACCCACUCUGCUCCUUCCUAACCUUCCACUGGCACUGUUCUGCCCUCACUGACCCUCGCCUGGGGGCCCUGUCAGCACAGCACACCCUUCCCACCAGAGCUGCCCACACCCAGGAAGUAGCAGCUCCCCUGGGAAGACUUUUACUGGUGGCUCAGUCAGACGGACGUAAUUUCCUGUCACCACAGUCAGCAUCCCCAUUUGUAGUUCUUGUCCUUUGGAGGUUCCUGAAGUGACUUUUAGAAACUGAAGAAAAGACACAAACCACUAAGACUUGUGAGCCCUUGGGAGACUCCUCCCCUAGGGCAUCAGGGCAGACAGGCCUGUCUCAAAGGGGUGCAUCUGACCAUGACUUACCCAACUCACAAGGAAUCCCUUUCCCCAGCCAAGCAAUCCACCAUCACUCUGCGCUCUGCACCCCACUCUGCGCUCUCCCAGUUCCACAGCACCCACCGCCUCAAAUGGCGCUGGCCAUGAAGGACUCUCUCUGCAGUGAAGGGCCCCAACACUUGCCUCCUGCCACACUGGCUCCUUGUUCCAGGAGUUCCCCACCGCCAUGCUCUGCUUGUGGCAGACCCUCUAGUGCCAGAUGCACAGGUACAAGCCACCUUGGCCUUCGGGGCCUUGUCCCAUGUCCAGCAUAAAGAGGACAGCAGGAAAAUGCCAGAGGUGGAACGAUCCUCCACAUUAAGCUGAGGAAAGGGACAAAGCAUUCUAAGCCCCACGGAGUGCCACCACACACAAAACUCUUGUCACAUGGAGAAGGCAAGAGGGCAGGGAGCUGCCUGGACGGAGCUCCACCACGGCACCCAGGCACCGAUGCACAGCCGCCUGGCACGCCUGUCCCCCACAAGACCGUGAGCUCCUGGGGACAGGGACCAUGUCUUAUUCACCUUUGCUUCCCCGUGCACAGCAUGCACAGCUGCUCGAUGAAUAAAUGAAUGAAAGCAAUGAAUGGAAACUGCAAACAAAUGGGUCCACUCAGGAACCAGUCAGGGUGCCACCUAAGGAGGAAGGACUUCUCUGAAAGAACCUUCAUCUUCAACUGGAGUUGAGUUAGAGCUCUCCCUCCACUGAAAGGGGCAAUGGGGCUCAGGGGAUAAUGAAGAAUUGGGUCCACCCAGCCCAACAUGAAGACAGGCUAUCUCAGAGACUGAACAGAAGGAACCCGGCUUCUGAUAGUCUCCAGGGACCGCCUCUCACUCCCACUGCUCUUACCUGAGCCCUUCCCAUAGGUCAAGGCCUAUUUCAAACAUACCUUGGCUGGGAAGCCUACCUAUGCUCCCUCACACCACCACUCCCUCUGCCUCACAAAAGGAGCUUGCCUUUGACCUCCUGGAGCCUGGUGCCCAGAUGGCCCACUCAGAUGUGGAGAUGGGACAAAUGUCAGGAAACAAACAAAAAACAUCAAAAAAAAAUAACCAAGGAUUCAGUGCUUCCUUUUAUUUUCUGUUUGAGUGUCUUGUUUCCACAGUUGAACUAGAAACUCCUGAGGUAAAGAACACGAUCUCCCCUUCCCUGAUCUCCCCACAGCAGCCAGCACUGGACUGGGCUAUGCAGUCUGCAAGCGUCACUGUACUGCCCGAGCAAAGGGCCUCACAGGCCUCUGUCUCAGGUGCAAGGUCCCAAAUGGAAGCCUCCCAAAUGCAAAUGGGCCUACCAUAGAUCCCCACUCCCUGUUUAAGGAAAAGGCACCUACAGUACUGGUUACCCCAUCUGUCUGUGAAGGGCAGGGUAGAGAAGGUGAGCCUCCUCACUUCAAAUCCCAGCUUUACUACUUUGUAGUCAUGAGAUCUAGAGCCAAAUUAUUUCUCUUUCUAUCCUGGGCUUCCUCAUUUAUUAAGUGAGGGUCAAAAGUAGUUAUUUUUCUAGGGGCAUCUGGUUGGCUCAGUCAGUAGAGCAGGCAACUCUUAAUCACAAGGUCAUGAGUUCAAGCCCCAUGUUGGGCAUGAAGCCUACUUAAAAUUAAUUAAUUAUUUCAGUAGUUAUUUUUCUAGGUCAUUGCGAGGAUACAAAUAAUACAUGUAAAUUGACUGGCACAUGGUAGGCCCUGAAGAGAUCCAAUAUGGUCAUCAUCAAUUCACUGUUAGAGCAAAUAGAAUCAGCCACAUGUGCUCACUGACCAAGCAAGCUCCAGAAUGCUGCUGCCCCGUCCUGAUUUCCCGACCAGCACAUCCUCACACCAGAGGGUAAGGGAGCAUUGCUUGGAGAAGUGGCAGGAGCCCCCCGCCCCAUAGGUUAUGCUAGGCCCAAUCACGCAGACUGCCCCCUCUUCUUCAGCGAUUUUUCUGUCUACUGCUUUCAUAUUAGGCUUAGUAUAUCUGCCCCCCAAAAUCCUCUCCAAACUGCAAUCCCAAUUUUUUGGCAACUGCAAAACACUGAUAAUGUAAUAAUUUUUUAUCAGAGGUCUUUUUUUAUUAUUUGAACCUUUUACAAUAACAAUUUUUUUUUUUACUAAUUUGAAAGGUCAAUGUAGUAAGUAAAAAAAAAAAAAAUCAAGGAAGUUGGUUUUUAUCACAACUUUAAACUGUACACCAUUCAACCCAAAAAUUCCAUUCUGAGCAUCUAUCCUAGGAAAGCACUCACAUGUAGAUAAAGUAACUUGCACCAUUUUUAGGAGGUUUUACGGCAAAAAUGUCCACCGCCAGCAGGGGAACAGAUUAGUAGUAAUCAGUACAUUAGGACACAUCUAAACUAUUGGAAUUCAGCAACAAAAAAGCAAAAUUUUUUGAACUCCAGAUGCUAUGCCUAUACAAAUCACAGGUCUGUUACCACUUUUCCACCAAGGCCCAACUGCAGAAAUACAAGGCAGAAUUUAGCUGUCAUGAGAAGAGGAAGUGCUGAAACAAUCCCAGCCCCAAGACCCGCACACACAGAGUCUGCCUAAGUCUAAGGAUGACCAGAAUGAUGGAAAACCCCUACCAGUCCCAACCUGAGCAGUAGCAAGUAAUAAGCCACCACAGUCUACUGCCGGAGGGGAGGCAAGAGCAUGCAGAGACACCCUCUCUGUGGUAUAAGUGUGCACUUGUGAAAGCUGGUGGUGUAUCAGGAACACAGAAAAACCCUCUUGACACCCCCAGGCCCAACUUUGAGCACAAGUUAACAGCCACCCACUGCUAAAGGAAUUUGAAGUCUGUGAUGCUCUGGAGUGAUGACAUGAAAAACAUCAAAAACUAACCAUCUCAUGACUAGAUUGAUUCCACCUCUAUACUAACAACCUGACAAAAGAGCCAUGCUCAUUUCUGGGCAUAAAUACUGAAUGUCUUAGUCUCUUCUAGUUUUCCAAAAUGAUGUCCAGCAUUAAAUUUAAAAUGUCAAGACAACUGACUGGGUGGCUUAGUGGGCUGCGUGUCUGACUCUUGAUUUUGGCUCAGGUCAUGAUCUUACAGUUCGUAAGUUCAAGCCCCGCAUUGGGCUCUGUGCUGACAGUGUGGAGCCUGCUUGGGAUUCUCUGUCUCUCCCUCUCUCUCUCUGCCCCUCCCUCCCCCCUCUCUCAAAAUAAAUAAGACUUAAAAAGGGGGGUGGUGUUUGUGUGGCUUGGUUGGGUAAGUGCCCAACUUCGGCUCAGGUCAUUAUCUCAGUUUGUGAAUUCAAGCCCCACAUCAGGCUCUGUGUGGGCAGCGUGGAGCCUGCUUUAGAUUCUCUCUCUCCCUUUCUCUCUGCCCCUCCCCUGCCUGCACUCUCUGUCUCAAAAAUAAAUAAAUAAACAUUUAAAAAAUGUCAAGACAAAGCAAGGUUAAAUAAUCUAUUAUCAAAAAAUAAAGAAUAAACACAACUCUAUUCAAAGAUGACCCAGAUCUUGGACCCAUCAAAGAGUUUAACUAUUAAAUGGUCCAAAGGAAAAGGUAGAUGGGGAAUUUCAGCAGACAAGGAAACUAUAAAAUAGAGUCAAAUGGAAAUGCUCGAUAUAAAAAACAUGAUGUCAGAGAUGAAGAAUUACUUUAACAGGCUGAUCAGCAAACUAUACACACCUGACGAAAGAAUCACCGAGCUCAAAGAACAGGUCAAUAGAAAUUAUCUAAAUUGAAACACAAAGAGAAAUGAGUGAAAGAAAAAAUACCCAGAAAGAAUAUUCAAAAUUUGUGGGAUGAUAUCAGUCUAGAAUAAAUGGACUUGCAAAAUAGAAUGCAGAAUAAAUAUUUGAACUAAUGGUCAAGAAUUUUCUAAAAUUAAAGGCAAUAAACAAUACACCCCAAAAAAAACCUAGGUACCUCAGAAGACAAUGGAAUGACUUCUUUAAAGUACUAAAAGGGGGGUAGGGGGGAGACCAAAAUCGUCAACCCAGAAUUUUAUAACAAUGAAAGCAUCUUUCAAAAUUGAAGGUGAAGUUCAUCAAAAAGUUAAGCAGAAUUACCGUAUAUGACCAGGAAUUCCAUUCUCUUAGAUAUCUACCCAAAAGAAUUGAAACCAGGUAUUCAAACAUGUUAAAAGAAUGUUUAUAGGAACAAUAUUCACAAUAGCCAAAAUGUAGAAACAA